GCUUACCGCCAUACCACACCUGGCUAUGCCCGAUCUCGUCUGAUCUCGAAGCUAAGCAGGUUUGGGCCUGGUUAGUACUUGGAUGGGAGACCGCCUGGGAAUAACAGGUACUGCUAGCU
rnacentral:rRNA from 1 species